GAUGAACGCUGGCGGCGUGCCUAAUACAUGCAAGUCGAGCGAACAGACGAGGAGCUUGCUCCUCUGACGUUAGCGGCGGACGGGUGAGUAACACGUGGAUAACCUACCUAUAAGACUGGGAUAACUUCGGGAAACCGGCGCUAAUACCGGAUAAUAUAUUGAACCGCAUGGUUCAAUAAUGAAAUACGGUUUUGCUGUCACUUAUAGAUGGAUCCGCGCCGCAUUAGCUAGUUGGUAAGGUAACGGCUUACCAAGGCAACGAUGCGUAGCCGACCUGAGAGGGUGAUCGGCCACACUGGAACGGAGACACGGUCCAGACUCCUACGGGAGGCAGCAGUAGGGAAUCUUCCGCAAUGGGCGAAAGCCUGCCGGAGCAACGCGGCGUGGGUGAUGAAGUUCUUCGGAUCGUAAAACUCUGUUAUUAGGGAAGAACAAAUGUGUAAGUAACUAUGCACGUCUUGACGGUACCUAAUCAGAAAGCCACGGCUAACUACGUG
rnacentral:rRNA from 1 species